rnacentral:rRNA from 1 species
AGUGAACGCUGGCGGUAGGCCUAACACAUGCAAGUCGAACGGCAGCACAGGAGAGCUUGCUCUCUGGGUGGCGAGUGGCGGACGGGUGAGGAAUACAUCGGAAUCUACUCUGUCGUGGGGGAUAACGUAGGGAAACUUACGCUAAUACCGCAUACGACCUACGGGUGAAAGCAGGGGACCUUCGGGCCUUGCGCGAUUGAAUGAGCCGAUGUCGGAUUAGCUAGUUGGAGGGGUAAAGGCCCACCAAGGCGACGAUCCAUAGCUGGUCUGAGCGGAUGAACGGGCACAGCGGAACUGGGGCAGUGUCCAGACUCCUACGGGAGGCAGCAGUCAGGAAUAUUGGACAAUGGGCGCAAGCCUGAAUCAGCCAUACCGCGUGGGUGAAGAAGGCCUUCGGGUUGUAAAGCCCUUUUGUUGGGCACGAAAUCCAGCUGGCUAAUACCCGGUUGGGAUGACGGUACCCAAAGAAUAAGCACCGGCUAACUUCGUGCCAGCCGCCGCAGUAA